GGUGAACGCUGGCGGCGUGCCUAACACAUGCAAGUCGAGCGGUGCAGUUUGAAGCUUCGGUGGAAAGCUGCAUAGCGGCGGACGGGUGAGGAAAACGUAGGAACGUGCCCCUUGGAGUUGGAUAGCCACGGGAAACUGUGGGUAAACCGACAUAGACUCGAGAGAGUAAAGGCCGAAAGGCGCCAAGGGAGCGGCCUGCGGCCCAUCAGGUAGUUGGUAGUGUAAAGGACUACCAAGCCGACGACGGGUAGCCGGUCUGAGAGGAUGGCCGGCCACAAGGGCACUGAGAGACGGGCCCUACUCCUACGGGAGGCAGCAGUGGGGGAUUUUGGACAAUGGGCGAAAGCCUGAUCCAGCGACGCCGCGUGGAGGACGAAGCCCUUCGGGGUGUAAACUGCUGUCGUGUAGGGAGAAGGGUACUAAGGUGAACAAUCUUAGUACUUGACGGUACUACAGGAGGAAGCCCAGGCUAACCUCGUGCCAGCAGCCGCGGUAAGGCUACGUAGA
rnacentral:rRNA from 1 species